AAAUAUUUAUUUCGGUUUUUAAUUUCGGUUUUUUUUUUCAAUUAGGUUUAAGCAUAAAAGUGAUUAGUUUUUUUUAGUUUUUAAAGUUAAGCAUAAAGUGAAAGUCGUACAAAAUAAUACUUCCCCAAGAUACACAAGGCAUAAAAAUACUUCUGCAGGAUCCAUCCAAGACACAUCUGUUGAUUGUUUCACAAGAGCCGCAAGCAGAGAGUCCAUAUUCAUAAAUACCUGGCAAAAAAAAAACUACAAAACAUACGGCUGUAAACUGUGGUGGCACAAGAAGAUACAAUUAUACUUCAUUUUACCGCUUUUCUACACAAACCUACAUAAAUACGGACACUCUACGUCCAUAUUCAUAAAUACCUGGCGAAAAGAAAACUACAAAUCGUACGGCUGUAAACUGUGGCGGCGCAAUGAGGUACAACACGGCAUCUUCGGAUAGUUUUUCUACACAAACCUACAUAAAUACGGGCAUCUGAUGAAUCUGGGGGCUCCGAGUAGAAUCGCAAGUAGAACCAAUACUUUGUUUUGACACUGAUUCGGCUAUCGGAAAUUAGAUACUGUGGUUAUCGGGUGAAUGGAUAGGAAUAUUAUAUUUUGCUACUAAUAAUUAUAUUACUCGUGAUUAUAUUUUGAUACUAAAACACACAAAGAUGUUUAAUUGUUUGACUGAAGCAGAAUGGGGUUGGACUCUAAAAGCUUCCAGCAAAAUGCUGAUUUACUUUCGGGGACAUGCAUUGAAUAUCCCCAUUCCCCUUUUGGAAAAUUUUCCACAACUAAGAAUUCUUUUCGAUAUACUCGCAGAUGUAUAAAACCCCCGAGGGCAUGCUAUUAUUCAAGAUUUCAUCUUUAGUUUUACAAAUAUUUCCAGUAAACACAUGUACGUGUGUAUGUAUAUAUGAAUAUGCGACUGGGGCGGGAAGAUGCCAUGGAUGCACAGUUCAUAAAAAUACGAAUCAACGCAAAAUUCAAAAGAAAAUUUGAAACAAGCAAUCCAUGCCCCACAAAACCCCAGAUGUCAAAUUCGUCGUCGUGUGAGAAUACUGGAAAAAUAUCAGUAUAGUUCGGAGCGUCGGAAGUUAAACACAUAAAAAUAAAAUUCUAAAUUUCAAAAUUUUGUAAAAUAUUUAUUUCGGUUUUUAAUUUCGGUUUUUUUUUUUCAAUUAGGUUUAAGCAUAAAAGUGAUUAGUUUUUUUUAGUUUUUAAAGUUAAGCAUAAAGUGAAAGUCGUACAAAAUAAUAAUACUUCCCCAAGAUACACAAGGCAUAAAAAUACUUCUGCAGGAUCCAUCCAAGACACAUCUGUUGAUUGUUUCACAAGAGCCGCAAGCAGAGAGUCCAUAUUCAUAAAUACCUGGCAAAAAAAAAACUACAAAACAUACGGCUGUAAACUGUGCUGGCACAAGAAGAUACAAUUAUACUUCAUUUUACCGCUUUUCUACACAAACCUACAUAAAUACGGACACUCCCCCUUUUGGAAAAUUUUCCACAACUAAGAAUUCUUUUCGAUAUACUCGCAGAUGUAUAAAACCCCCCGAGGGCAUGCUAUUAUUCAAGAUUUCAUCUUUAGUUUUACAAAUAUUUCCAGUAAACACAUGUACGUGUGUAUGUAUAUAUGAAUAUGUAUACUAUUACGACAAACAAUAUAUAAAUAUGGGAAUAUGGAUUAAACCUAGAACUUGUUGUUGGGAAUGACUCAUCCCUCGGCAGCAACGGGUACGUUGAGGACGGGCUUUGCCUCCAGAGCUGGUUCCUGUGCAGGCUGUGACUGGACGAGCACCUUGCUGGGCAGGAGAUGCUUGAGGGGCUCUAGGAUGCGCGCCUGCUGCAGAUAGGUGAGCUGCUGCUGCUCCAGCUGCAGGAGGCUGAUGCCCAGGUGAACGGUGAGCGACUGGGGCGGGAAGAUGCCAUGGAUGCACAGUUCAUAAAAAUACGAAUCAACGCAAAAUUCAAAAGAAAAUUUGAAACAAGCAAUCCAUGCCCCACAAAACCCCAGAUGUCAAAUUCGUCGUCGUGUGAGAAUACUGGAAAAAUAUCAGUAUAGUUCGGAGCGUCGGAAGUUAAACACAUAAAAAUAAAAUUCUAAAUUUCAAAAUUUUGUAAAAUAUUUAUUUCGGUUUUUUAUUUCGGUUUUUUUUUUUCAAUUAGGUUUAAGCAUAAAAGUGAUUAGUUUUUUUUAGUUUUUAAAGUUAAGCAUAAAGUGAAAGUCGUACAAAAUAAUAAUACUUCCCCAAGAUACACAAGGCAUACAAAUACUUCUGCAAGAUCCAUCCAAGACACAUCUGUUGAUUGUUUCACAAGAGCCGCAAGCAGAGAGUCCAUAUUCAUAAAUACCUGGCAAAAAAAAAACUACAAAACAUACGGCUGUAAACUGUGCUGGCACAAGAAGAUACAAUUAUACUUCAUUUUACCGCUUUUCUACACAAACCUACAUAAAUACGGACACUCUACGUCCAUAUUCAUAAAUACCUGGCGAAAAGAAAACUACAAAUCGUACGGCUGUAAACUGUGGCGGCGCAAUGAGGUACAACACGGCUUCUUCGGAUAGUUUUUCUACACAAACCUACAUAAAUACGGGCAUCUGAUGAAUCUGGGGGCUCCGAGUAGAAUUGCAAGUAGAACCAAUACUUUGUUUUGACACUGAUUCUGCUAUCGGAAAUUAGAUACUGUGGUUAUCGGGUGAAUGGAUAGGAAUAUUAUAUUUUGCUACUAAUAAUUAUAUUACUCGUGAUUAUAUUUUGAUACUAAAACACACAAAGAUGUUUAAUUGUUUGACUGAACCAGAAUGGGGUAGGACUCUAAAAGUUUCCAGCAAAAUGCUGAUUUACUUUCGGGGACAUGCAUUGAAUAUCCCCAUUCCCCUUUUGGAUAAUGUUCCCCAACUAAGAAUUCUUUUCGAUAUACUCGCAGAUGUAUAAAACCCCCCGAGGGCAUGCUAUUAUUCAAGAUUUCAUCUUUAGUUUUACAAAUAUUUCCAGUAAACACAUGUACGUGUGUAUGUAUAUAUGAAUAUGUAUACUAUUACGACAAACAAUAUAUAAAUAUGGGAAUAUGGAUUAAACCUAGAACUUGUUGUUGGGAAUGACUCAUCCCUCGGCAGCAACGGGUACGUUGAGGACGAGCUUUGCCUCCAGAGCUGGUUCCUGUGCAGGCUGUGACUGGACGAGCACCUUGGUGGGCAGGAGAUGCUUGAGGGGCUCUAGGAUGCGCGCCUGCUGCAGAUAGGUGAGCUGCUGCUGCUCCAGCUGCAGGAGGCUGAUGCCCAGGUGAACGGUGAGCGACUGGGGCGGGAAGAUGCCAUGGAUGCACAGUUCAUAAAAAUACGAAUCAACGCAAAAUUCAAAAGAAAAUUUGAAACAAGCAAUCCAUGCCCCACAAAACCCCAGAUGUCAAAUUCGUCGUCGUGUGAGAAUACUGGAAAAAUAUCAGUAUAGUUCGGAGCGUCGGAAGUUAAACACAUAAAAAUAAAAUUCUAAAUUUAAAAAAAUUUUGUAAAAUAUUUAUUUCGGUUUUUAAUUUCGGUUUUUUUUUUCAAUUAGGUUUAAGCAUAAAAGUGAUUAGUUUUUUUUAGUUUUUAAAGUUAAGCAUAAAGUGAAAGUCGUACAAAAUAAUAAUACUUCCCCAAGAUACACAAGGCAUAAAAAUACUUCUGCAGGAUCCAUCCAAGACACAUCUGUUGAUUGUUUCACAAGAGCCGCAAGCAGAGAGUCCAUAUUCAUAAAUACCUGGCAAAAAAAAAACUACAAAACAUACGGCUGUAAACUGUGGUGGCACAAGAAGAUACAAUUAUACUUCAUUUUACCGCUUUUCUACACAAACCUACAUAAAUACGGACACUCUACGUCCAUAUUCAUAAAUACCUGGCGAAAAGAAAACUACAAAUCGUACGGCUGUAAACUGUGGCGGCGCAAUGAGGUACAACACGGCUUCUUCGGAUAGUUUUUCUACACAAACCUACAUAAAUACGGGCAUCUGAUGAAUCUGGGGGCUUCGAGUAGAAUCGCAAGUAGAACCAAUACUUUGUUUUGACACUGAUUCGGCUAUCGGAAAUUAGAUACUGUGGUUAUCGGGUGAAUGGAUAGGAAUAUUAUAUUUUGCUACUAAUAAUUAUAUUACUCGUGAUUAUAUUUUGAUACUAAAACACACAAA